rnacentral:rRNA from 1 species
CAGCCGCCACGGGAAUACGUAGGUGGCAAGCGUUGUCCGGAAUGAUUGGGCGUAAAGCGCGCGCAGGUGGUUUAAUAAGUCUGAUGUGAAAGCCCACGGCUCAACCGUGGAGGGUCAUUGGAAACUGUUAAACUUGAGUGCAGGAGAGAAAAGUGGAAUUCCUAGUGUAGCGGUGAAAUGCGUAGAGAUUAGGAGGAACACCAGUGGCGAAGGCGGCUUUUUGGCCUGUAACUGACACUGAGGCGCGAAAGCGUGGGGAGCAAACAGGAUUAGAUACCCCCGUAGUCCCUGUCUCUUAUAA